UUGGAAUUAAGCCACUGAACACCACCAACAACCAAUACAGUCUGGCCAGUAUUCUCUAGGGGACGUGAUCUGAAAUUCAGAAAGAAAAACAACACAUGUUGCCCUAAAACAGAAGAUGUGCAAACAGAGAAUUCACAGAGGUAGCUCAAUAGAGGUCGUGUCUACUUGACGAAAGAACCACAGAACCAGAAUCUAAUUUUCUGAACAGCGGUGCAUGUCCUAGGGUGCCUAUCCCAGUGCCAUUUCCUCUCCAAUGAAGCCUCUUACCCACAUCCCCUCCUGCUCAUUCCCAGCAGCACUGUUCAGGCUUUCACUGCCUCAAACCUGCACUAGUGUAAUGCUCUCCUACUGGGUCUCCCUUCCUGUACAAUGGCUGUCUUUUAAUUCAUUCUACACACAAUAUUGCUGCAAUAAAU
rnacentral:lncRNA from 1 species